GUUAGGAAUUUUGGGCAAUGGGCGAAAGCCUGACCCAGCAACGCCGCGUGGGUGAUGAAGGCCCUCGGGUCGUAAAGCCCUUUUCCCAGGGACGAUAGUGACGGUACCUGGGGAAUCAGCCCCGGCUAACUACGUGCCAGCAGCCGCGGUAAUACGUAGGGGGCAAGCGUUGUCCGGAUUUAUUGGGCGUAAAGCGCUCGCAGGUGGUUCGAUACGUCGUGCGUGAAAGCCCCCGGCUCAACUGGGGAGUGUCGUGCGAUACGGUCGAACUGGAGGCCAGUAGGGGGAUGCGGAAUUCCGGGUGUAGUGGUGGAAUGCGUAGAGAUCCGGAGGAACACCAGCGGCGAAGGCGGCAUCCUGGACUGGUCCUGACACUCAUGAGCGAAAGCGUGGGGAGCGAUCCGGAUUAGAUACCCCGGUAGUCC
rnacentral:rRNA from 1 species